rnacentral:rRNA from 1 species
UACGGAGGGUGCAAGCGUUGUCCGGAAUCACUGGGCGUAAAGGGCGCGUAGGUGGCGACCCAAGUCGAUGGUGAAAGCUCGCCGCUCAACGGCGAGUCGGCCACCGAUACUGGGUUGCUUGAGCACUGUAGAGGCUAAUGGAAUUCCGGGUGUAGCGGUGGAAUGCGUAGAGAUCCGGAAGAACACCGGUGGCGAAGGCGGUUAGCUGGGCAGUUGCUGACACUGAGGCGCGACAGCGUGGGGAGCAAACAGG